rnacentral:lncRNA from 1 species
CAGUUCAAAUCCCGAAUCGAGGAAAGAUCGACUCUGUAUUACAGUCCGUUAACAUAGAAAUACGGGUAAGGAAUUCUGUUAACCCAGCAGAAGGUGUUAGGCAUUCUCGAGUUCUAUGGCUCUAUCACGGUCACUCAACUAUAAUAAUUGGCCUAUUAUCUUAUUUUAACACAUGUUUUAGCUUAUGGUGUAUUUUAAUUUAUUAGCCACUUUUAAUUAUUUUAAGGAAGAUUUCAACGUUAC